ACUCCUACGGGAGGCAGCAGUGGGGAAUCUUGCGCAAUGGGCGAAAGCCUGACGCAGCCAUGCCGCGUGAAUGAUGAAGGUCUUAGGAUUGUAAAAUUCUUUCACCGGGGACGAUAAUGACGGUACCCGGAGAAGAAGCCCCGGCUAACUUCGUGCCAGCAGCCGCGGUAAUACGAAGGGGGCUAGCGUUGCUCGGAAUUACUGGGGCGUAAAGGGAGCGUAGGCGGACAUUUAAGUCAGGGGUGAAAUCCCGGGGGCUCAACCUCGGAAUUGCCUUUGAUACUGGGGUGUCUUGAGUAUGAGAGAGGUGUGUGGAACUCCGAGUGUAGAGGUGAAAUUCGUAGAUAUUCGGAAGAACACCAGUGGCGAAGGCGACACACUGGCUCAUUACUGACGCUGAGGCUCGAAAGCGUGGGGAGCAAACAGGAUUAGAUACCCUGGUAGCACAGAG
rnacentral:rRNA from 1 species